ACUAACGCUGGCGGCGUGCCUAAUACAUGCAAGUCGAACGGGAUUCUUUGAUCAGCUUGCUGAGAGAAGGAUCUAGUGGCGGACGGGUGAGUAACGCGUGGGAAUCUGCCUCUUACUGGGGGAUAACAGUGGGAAACUACUGCUAAUACCGCAUAAGAUCUUCGGAUGAAAGGUGCAACUGCACCGGUAAGAGAUGAGCCCGCGUCCCAUUAGCUAGUUGGUGAGGUAAAGGCUCACCAAGGCGACGAUGGGUAGCCGGCCUGAGAGGGUGAACGGCCACACUGGGACUGAGACACGGCCCAGACUCCUACGGGAGGCAGCAGUAGGGAAUCUUCCGCAAUGGGCGCAAGCCUGACGGAGCGACGCCGCGUGAGUGAUGAAGGCCUUCGGGUACGUAAAGCUCUGUUCUUGAGGACGAAUAAGCCAGGGAGUGGAAAGCCCUGGUGAUGACUGUACUCAAGGAAGAAAGCUCCGGCUAACUACGUG
rnacentral:rRNA from 1 species